UCUCUUCCCCAAUUCACGCCGAAACCUUUGUCUUACUUUCACCGUCGAUUGCGCCGCCGGCCCUAUUUCGCGUCGAAAAUCCUAGAUCCCCUCCGCCUACCUCAUUUCUCAUUUCGUGGGGUUCAGAAGGAGCGGCUGGUGCAGGAGGAUAUGUGCGUCAUGUCUGGGAGUGGCGCCGUGACAUCUGCCCCAUCGACCAAACCCUACCCACAUAAACCUUGCAAGUGCACUGACUGCGCUCCCUUCUUUCACGAAGGCAUAUCUAAUGCGCAAUGCUGGGGCUUGUAUUCACAGCCAUGGACUGGAGUCUUGUCUCAUAAGUCAUAACGAUGGGCAAUCCUUUGGGCGUGAUGCGCUUAUAUGUUCGUCCCCUUCCAGAGAACCAUGGUUUCAAAAUUAUUUGAUUGCAGAAAUAUAAAUGGAGACGAACUAUCCCACCUUCAGUUUGGUAAAUUAUGACUACUUUAGAGCUCCUAAUUGUUGAUAUUGCUAAAUUAUCCUUGUGGUUUGAACUAACAAGAACAUGUUCAUGUCAUGGGCCUUUGUGCUACUGUGGGCAGAAAAAAGAGUAGGUUUUGCCCAUGCCAAUUACAGUGCUCUUUUCAUCCAUUCAUCGUGCAAUAGGUGAAUUGUGGUGUGAGAUAUGGAGCUUGAUAUUCCUCUUAGUUUUGUUAGGAAAGUUUGUUUUUGCGACAACCACAAAGGAGUUUCAUUGUGGCUUGACGUUACAGAUGAUAGUUUCAGGCCUUCUGAUAAGGAGCUGCAACAAUAAUCUGGCACGAUUGGGGUUGUUCAGGGGGGAAGAAGCUACUGUGCAGGGCCAGGUUUGUGUCUAGAUCUUAUGUUGCACCGCACCAUCGAUCUCGAGUGGCUAGGUUUGAAACAAUUUGUCGAUUGCCGACUAAUCCUGUGGUACAGCAGGCUGCAGGGGACUUUCACAUAAGAACACAAUGCAAGACCUUCACAUUAAACACAUCCAUUGAUGUCUUUUAUUUUAUGAAUGAUAUUUUGCUUCUCUAUUUUCCUUUCAAGUAAACGUAAGAUUCGUUUUAUGAGUAGUUACUUCA